GAUGAACGCUAGCGGCAGGCUUAACACAUGCAAGUCGAGGGGCAGCGCGGGAUAGCAAUAUCCUGGCGGCGACCGGCGGAAGGGUGCGUAACGCGUGAGCGACAUGCCCGUUGCCCGGGGACAACCGGUGGAAACGCCGACUAAUCCCCGAUGGGAUAUUGUGCCGCAUGGCACGAUAUUGAAAGUUACGGCGGCGACGGAUUGGCUCGCGUCCGAUUAGCUUGUUGGCGGGGUAACGGCCCACCAAGGCUGCGAUCGGUAGGGGUUCUGAGAGGAAGGCCCCCCACAAGGGGACUGAGACACGGCCCAUACUCCUACGGGAGGCAGCAGUGAGGAAUAUGGGUCAAUGGGCGGAAGCCUGAACCAGCCAUGCCGCGUGCGGGAAGGAGGCCCUAUGGGCUGUGAACCGCUUUUGCCUGGGGGCAAUAAGGGCGUCGCGCACGUCCGAUGAGAGUACCAGGCGAAUAAGCAUCGGCUAACUCCGUG
rnacentral:rRNA from 1 species